UUUACUUUUGUCUUAAGUUAAUGAUAACUAAAAAGGUAACUCUAACUAUGUUUUUGAUUGCCAUGUUUUAGAAGUUACAAUUUUUGAAAAGAUGUAAUGGCAAUUUCUUGAAAAGAAAAGAUAAAUAUGAAACAUUCAAUAACAAAUAGAAAAAAAUGAAAGAUUAGAAAACGUCCCCUUAAAAGUUUGGAUUCUGUUAUGAGUGCAGAAGAAAUUGCCCUCAAUUACUCUUUCUUCUCUUUCUUCCCUUAAACGUCCUCUUCCAUUUCUUCCCUUUCAAUUUCUUCUUUCUCUUCCUCUUCUUUUCUCUUUUUCUCUCUUAUUUUCUCUUCUUCUCUUCUCUCUCUUUCUUCCUCUUCUCUUUCUUCCUCUUCUAUUUCUUCUUCUCUUCUUUUUCUCUUUAUAAUCUCUCAAUCCUAUAUUUGUGUCUUCCCAUUGCCUCUUAAGUUAUUCUAAAAACUCACUUUCUCCACAAGAAAACCCACUUAAAUUUUGAAUAAAUGACUUUCCUUAUCUAAUAAACUCUUUCAUAAGUUCUAAAUUUCUUUGAAUAUCUAGUUUCUUCUUAAACAAGCUUUUAAUUCUUUCUAAUCACAAAUUGAAGAUUUUCUACCUAUCAUGAUAUUGUCUUUCAUCCCACCAUUCUUUUGCAUGCUUUUCAAAUAUAGAAAUGUAUUCCUCGCUGGCCGACAUCCCCUAUUUUACUAUGUGAUAUCUCCUAAUGAGGUGCUACUAUAAUUAUACCG
rnacentral:lncRNA from 1 species